rnacentral:rRNA from 1 species
UACAGAGGUCUCAAGCGUUGUUCGGAUUCAUUGGGCGUAAAGGGUGCGUAGGCGGCGCGGUAAGUCGGGUGUGAAAUCUCGGAGCUUAACUCCGAAACUGCAUUCGAUACUGCCGUGCUUGAGGACUGGAGAGGAGACUGGAAUUUACGGUGUAGCGGUGAAAUGCGUAGAUAUCGUAAGGAAGACCAGUGGCGAAGGCGGGUCUCUGGACAGUUCCUGACGCUGAGGCACGAAAGG